rnacentral:misc_RNA from 1 species
GCAUCUCGAACUCUAACACCUUGUGUGUAGAGAGUCGGUCAUGGUCUUCGUAGAUUUUAUCUACUUGGCUUAAAUUCAAUCGUGGCCAGUAUCUCAAAAGAUAGAGGCGUCAUAGUUGGCUCUUUCGAGUUCAUCUUUCGCUUUCUAUUGAGUAAAUAGUCACGUAAAAGCUCUUUUCAUA